GACGAACGCUGGCGGCGUGCCUAAUACAUGCAAGUAGAACGCUGAAGGAGGAGCUUGCUCUUCUGGAUGAGUUGCGAACGGGUGAGUAACGCGUAGGUAACCUGCCUGGUAGCGGGGGAUAACUAUUGGAAACGAUAGCUAAUACCGCAUAAGAGUAGAUGUUGCAUGACAUUUGCUUAAAAGGUGCAAUUGCAUCACUACCAGAUGGACCUGCGUUGUAUUAGCUAGUUGGUGGGGUAACGGCUCACCAAGGCGACGAUACAUAGCCGACCUGAGAGGGUGAUCGGCCACACUGGGACUGAGGCACGGCCCAGACUCCUACGGGAGGCAGCAGUAGGGAAUCUUCGGCAAUGGACGGAAGUCUGACCGAGCAACGCCGCGUGAGUGAAGAAGGUUUUCGGAUCGUAAAGCUCUGUUGUAAGAGAAGAACGAGUGUGAGAGUGGAAAGUUCACACUGUGACGGUAUCUUACCAGAAAGGGACGGCUAACUACGUG
rnacentral:rRNA from 1 species